rnacentral:rRNA from 1 species
GCGAGUGAAGCGGCAACAGCUCAAAUUUGAAAGCCCGCGGGCGUUGUAAUUUGCAGGCGGAUGUUUUGGGGCGGGCGCUGUCUACGUUCCUUGGAACAGGACGCCGCAGAGGGUGAGAGCCCCGUGCGAUGGCGCCUCUAACCGCGUAAAACUCCGCCGACGAGUCGAGUUGUUUGGGAAUGCAGCUCCAAGUGGGUGGUAAAUUCCAUCUAAAGCUAAAUACUGGCGAGAGACCGAUAGCGAACAAGUACAGUGAUGGAAAGAUGAAAAGCACUUUGAAAAGAGAGUGAAACAGCACGUGAAAUUGUUGAAAGGGAAGGGUAUGCGAUUAGCGGCCAGCAGGAGGUGCCUUCUCGUGAAAAGGCCGUGCACCGUCUUCGGACACCGUGCGCGGAGAUGGCGAGGGGGCGCCUGAGGUCUGCGAACUCGAGGUUGCUGGCGUAAUGAUUGCAUACCACCC